GCUAGCAUAGCUUAAGUAAAGCAUAACACUGAAGAUGUUAAGAUGGGCCUUAGAACGCUCUGCAAGCA
rnacentral:tRNA from 1 species